UGAAGCACGGUGGAUGGCAGACGGAGAUUGAGUGUGAAGAGAUGGAAUUAAUCUUCGGUGGCGAUUUCGAAUGGUGAUUUCGAACGAGUGUGAAGACCAAUUUCGAAUCACGUCAAGAAUGGGUGUGGGAUAGGGCUUCCCCAACUUCAAGAACGGUGAUUUCAGUUGGAGAUUUCAAAAACUCAAGCGCGACGACAAUGUGAAGGUGGAGAUUUCGAAAAUGCUUAGGCGUGAAGAAGAAGAAGAUGCGUUUUAAUUUCUAGG
rnacentral:lncRNA from 1 species